CAGAUUUGGAUUUUCUAUUUCAUAGUUAUUGAAAUCAUAAUGAGAAUGAAGUACUGCCACUAAGGUAAAGGUGCUAACUUGCAAGGAGCUGUUCUCAAAACAUUGGGUGACAAAGAAUUCACUUUUACAAAAAUCGAGCAGGAUAUUAAAGACAGCGAACUAUAGAACAAAUAUGGCGAAGCUGCAUGAAGUCUAUGUUGAAUUUUAUUAUUGAAAAAAAAUAUGCUCUUCAGAUUUAAUGUUAGUUUUUAUUGUUUAACAGUAAUUGCAGUUUUCGAAUACCUGUAAAAUAAACCUAAUUCUUAAAUUAA